AGUGCUGAAAGAGUGAGCCAGGACAGCCUUUCGACAUUGAACAAGGCAAUUCCCAAUCUCUUGAGCCCUGGCUGUGUUCACUGAAUGGAUCUAGUCUCUGAAAAUUCACCGACAUUUUUGGCUUGGCGCUGUGGCUCAUGCCUGUAAUCCCAGCACUUUGGGAGGUUGAGACGGGAAGAUUACGAGGUCAAGAGAUCAAGACUAUCCUGGGCAACAUGAUGAAAUGCUGUCUCUACUAAAAACACAAAAAAUUAGCUGGGUGUGGUGGUGCGAGCCUGUAGUCCCAGCUACUCAGGAGGCUGAAGCAGGAGAAUUGCUUGAACCCAGGAGGCGGCGGUUGCAGUGAGCCAAGGUGGCGCCACCGCUCUCCAGCCUGGCAACAGAACGUGACUCCGUCUCAAAAAAAGAAAAAAAAAAAAUUUCAGGGAUAUUUAUGUAGUGACCUGUUAUUUAAUUUUUCAAUAAUAUAAAUCUGUUUCAAGAAAAAGAAAUUUUAAACAAACUCUUAUGAUUUUCUUUCUCCUGAAAAUUAUUCCAGAACUUAAAAAAAAGGAGAAACAAAACAGAGUAAGUACAUUAGCUUUAUUCAACAUACCAUCUUGUCUAGUAGUAAACUACUAAAAACAGUCUCCUGAGUGGAAAAAAUAUAAAUUUUUGUCUAUAGCAUCAGUGUUGUCCUGCGUGUUUUCAUUAUUUUCUCCAAAUAAAUUGGCUCAAUAUGCUGCUAAGUAUUACCAUUUAUGUUUAUUUUGAAGUUCUAUAUCUUGUCUUUCCUGUUUCAUCUGUAAACAGGCAAUUAUUGCCUCAGUGUGUAUUCUGAUACAUUUUCUCUCUAAAUCUAUUGUCC
rnacentral:lncRNA from 1 species